GGGCUCCCCUCGGGGCUGGGCGGCCUCUCGGGCACCUCCGCACCACCUGGCUGGCGCUCCUUCGAGGAGUUUAAAACCAGAAAAAGGCCAAAACACGAGGGGAACCACCCCAAAAUGAGCUAGGAGCAACUGAAAGCCCCAGUCCGGGCUAGUCGCCUGCAUCUCAUGCCAAGGCCAAGGAGGGCCAGUGGCAGGCAGCCCCCCGGCCCGGCUGCAGGGACCCUGGCGGAUGGCCACGCGCACGGGGCAGGGGGGCGCGCUGUGACAGCCAGGCCCCCAAAACAGCCGCGGCAACAACGUGGGACAGAGGAGGCAUACGCCAGCGCUGUUACCGCUGCAAUGAGUUUGCACUGCGGCUUCCAGGAGCCUUGGUCAGGGACUGAGAGCCCUUUGUGCUAACCCUUGUUCAAAGAGCUCAUCCAGCACAAGUCAGUUAAAAAAAGAAAAAACUGGAUAACAUCCCCUUAGUAAGGCUAUUAUUUUAAUCCUUGAAUGAGCAAUCAAAGUGAUUUCACCCACAUUUACAUUGGAGUACAUCUUCUGCAGGUCUUGGCAAAAUUUGAGAAAGGAUAGCGAAUGCACUGCACAGGAGAUACAGGCCAGACGCCAUGUACAAAGAGAAAGCAGUCUCUGGAAACAAACACACUUUCUCUUGCAGCGCUACCAAGCACUACCCUGAAGGUCAAGUCUUUAAUAGGUGCAAGAUAAUUUCCCUCUUGUACUGCACACAUCCCACAAAUUCCUUUAAACAAUUUCCUCUUGUCUUGAAAUUCAAGCAACAGAACGGGAUCUGCUGAAUAGCAAGACCAUCAGAGCCAUUAAUCUGCAGUUACAGCCUAAUCUUGUUUCAUUUCCUGCCCUUUCCCCAGUUUACAGUAAGUGUGCAAACCACUGAACCAGCAAGUCGGUAAGGUUUUAUGGGUUUGAACGAGUCUUUUGGUGAAGCUACAAUUCUGCUCUAUUUAACUCCUCGGCACAGAACUAAUUUCUUCAAAGGAUAAGUGCCUCCUUUUCAGUGGAGGAAAAGGUACCUUCUGGCAUGUCCCAUCCAGAAGAGUUUCGUGUAAAAGAGCCUCACGCCUCUGAAGAGGACGAGGACUCCAGGAUCACUCUCCAGUUGUGCACCCUUCCUGCAGGUCUCCCUGAUAGCCCUGUGCUGUCUUGAACACCCAAAUACAGCUCCACAGCUUUUUAGCAUGUGUCUGAAAUAAAAAAAUAACUUGCUGGUUUCUUAGCAAGAUGUUAAGCUAUGGUCAUUUUCCAAUUUGUGUAGAAAUAGCCAUUUUCUUCUCCGCAUUGUCAAUCUUCCUAUUCCCAGAAGAGGGAGGUCACCGUCAAAGAAAGGUGAAGGCUCUCCCUGUGCCCAACGGAUUCAUGCCCCAGGAAAGGGAUAUCUAAAAGAAAAAAAUUACUUGUGUUUUAAUGAAGAUGAGACUCAAAGCUUGGGAUAGAACUUCAUGUGUGGUGGACCAGCCACAGGGACAUGGGCAGUGAGAAAAGACUGCAGGCUAUUAGGUGACUGAAAUGAUCCCCCCCAUCCAGCUAGAGAAAAAUCUGUUCCUGUUGUCCCAGACAGUAACAGAAGAUAAAUUGCAACCAAAGAGCAACGCAGAAGGGUAGACUACUGAAAAGACUGAGAAAUUCAGAGGUUAACUAUCACUGUUUUACUGAGAUGGGGACCUCUUAGGGAACAGGCUUGGAGUAAGCAUGCGAGCAGCCUGAGAUGAGGACAUGAGACACUGCUGUGUAAUCUGGGUGAGCCAAGACUGAUUUUCCUUGGAGCAGAAAGCUGGUGAGAUUUUUUUUUUUUUGCAAGUUCUUACACAGUCAGAAAGUCAUCCCAAAGCAAACAGGCCUUUACAGAAAUUGAGUUCAGGCAGGCUCCAGUAAACUCAAUGCCUUGAGGCAGGAUGAGCACUGAUUAUGAAAAACACAAGGCAGCAAAGAUUUCUAUCGUUGUUUAAAGAGGGAGAAGGGCAGCGUUCCAGCAACACUCAGCAGAUCUCUGUAAAAGACAACCCUUUUUCUUCAGGAUAAACCACCAAAAUUGCUCAGCCUUCAUAAAAACCUGCAGAGAGAGAACAAGGAGGGAGGGAUGCCCCUUUGUAACUUGCUUUCAUUUAUGCUACUUACCUUCUCUGAAAACCAAGCAAUCUUACUCUUCUACCGUAUUCAUGGGAAAUAAUAUUCAGGCUCUGGCUGUUUGCAUUUGCAACGCAACAGUGUUCAGUACAGAUUUUCCUACAAGUAAAUUACUCUGCUAGCUUAAUACUAUUACAAUUAUAAGAAUUGCACUAGGAAAAAAAUUCUUGGUUUAAAAGGUUCCAUUUUUCAUUAGAGUCUUAAUUUAAAAAAAAAAUCCAGCCAGCUCCCCAUACAGUUAGCCAGGUCUUCAUUCAUGGUUUCUUACUGUUUAUUUUGAGUCCGGUAAGGUACUAGUUGUUAAAAUUAUAUUCCCAAUGAAUUCUGUAUUUAUCACACACAAUUUCACUUGAUGGCCUGUUACCUACUGACUUCUGACAGAAUCUUUUUCAAUCUCAAUAACGCAUAAGGGACAGCAAUGUUUCAUGGAAGUAAGAUUUGAGGAUCAGCCUUAAGUGAUGGUGUAAGUCUUCUCUAAGGAGCAGCACAGCUACUCACGUCUUCCCUAUUAAGUCUUACUUUGAACAAUGGACUUGCUUUCUGUUCAAGUCACAGACUUACUAAAUAAUAUGAUAAACAUAGAUAAUAUCUUAAAGUGAUAGUAUCAAAGACCUAUUCUGGUAAAUGUAAAUUAAAAUCACUACAGUUCAGACUGAGGGAACAGGGCAACAGCAUUUCAGGAACUAUGUGCAGGAGAAGAUAUCAGUGUAAGAUUUGCACUGAAAGUCUCUCCUUAGAAGGAGAUCAGUAGUAAAUACAUAGAAUAGGGGAAAGAAAAACAGAUGCUUCAACUUUAGUUUUCCUAAGUUAGUGGUCUUUUCUUCUGAUACAUCAAAUUUUUUUCCCCAUAAUUUAAUACAUAACUUACAAGCCAGUGAAUAGUAACAUUCAUAUUUUUUUCUCUUUAAAUACAUUUCUUCGUUACUGCCAAUCUGAGGCCUCCAGACUCAGAUCACGAAACAGCAACCCUGGCAAGCACUGGGUUUACAUAGCUUGUUAUACCAUCCACCACGCCAGCACGAAGCAGCGAAGGUGCCAGAACCUGAUUCCAGCCUCUUCCCUUCUGGAAUUCCAGCACAAGGAGCCUCCUGUCUCCACAUUUCACUUUCUCACAAGAUGCACCGAACCUCUUGGCAACGAGAUCGCUACCUCCUACUUCAUCAGGAGGAGCCAGGAAACUAGAAAUACUUCACAAAAAUGAGACCUUCAGAAUCUCCUGUACUUCUUCCACAGCAUUUAAUAAAUCCUUUUACUCGUUAGCUUCCACGUUAGCCUUUCUAAUGGCUUUCAGCUUAAGUGGAGAGGGUAUUAUUUUGCAUCUCUCUUUAUCAAGGUCAGCAUUUGUCUAACAAUAGAUGAGAUUUUUCCUUUACUGAGGCAAGUAUAAGCCCGCUGUUUUCUGUAAGAGCGCUCAGUUUUGCUUCAUGCUGAUGAACCACAGAGGGACUGGAUAUGAGAACAGGAUGAGACUAAUGGCACUCCAGACCACACUCUGCAGCAAAACUGUUUCUUGCCAUCAAGGUCAUUGUUAAGCUUCAAUAUCAAAUAAGACUGUGUGUGCACAUGAACAUUGAGGGCAGGGGCAUGAACAGAGUUCUGCAAAAUUGUAAGAGAGAUCAGUAUUCUAAUAUUUAGGAUUCAUCUUCAAAACAGGACUUUUCUCUAAUAAAAUUCUGCUAUUCUCAUCUUCCCCCAGCAUCAUUUGGAACACUAUAAGCUCAAGCAGGAAAAAAAAAUUCUGAUACUGAGAUUUAAAAAACCCUAUUAUAAUUGGGCUUUAAUGAAUAGCAUGUGCAGAACAACUUAGAGCAAUUAAAAUUAUUUCUACAGUAAAUAGAUUUUGAAGUGUUUUACAUAAAGAUACAAUAUAUUGCUGCAGGCAGUUAUUAAACUCAUUCAACAUUUUACAAUGCUAGCACUAAAGUCAGUUCAUAUUGCUACUUAUACUUAUGUUGAUCUUAACAUGAUUUGCAGUAUAUUAACCUCUUCCACAAACUGUUUACUGUUUAUGACUAGUUUGACAAGCGAAACCUGUCAGUUCAUAUACUGCCAGAACCAAAUAUUAAUUGAAGACAGAAAAGCACUCAUUUCUAGACUUAUAACUCUUUGCUCUACUUCCUUGCCUUUUAUUUUAGCAACAAAUUUAAUUCUCAAGAAGGAUGUUAUCUUGUUCAUGGAAAUAUCAGAAACAAAUUCUCUCCUUAUUAAAUUAAUUUUUCACUUAAAACUAUUGCUACUAAAAAUCCCACAAGUUUAGCAUAUUCACUAUUUAAGUUCUGUAUAUUCACUGUAUAUAAAUUGAUUGCAAAAGUAUUGCAUGGCAGGAAUCAAACACAUUUAUUGCAUUCCUUUGUUUAGAGAUUCAGUGCCUGUUGCUGCAGCUGGCUUCACAUGCUUUUGACCUCCUGGGCUAGGCUUAUAACCUAAGAAAACUUGUUUUGUACACUUGCUUGGACUGAAAAUAAAUCAGACUUUCCAGAUCUCAAAACAAA